UGGCAGACGGGUGAGUAACAUGUAGGUAUCUGCCCUUUGGCCUGGAAUAACACGAGGAAACUUGUGCUAAUACCGGAUAAGUCUUUACGGAGAAAGCUUUAUGCACCAUUGGAUGAGCCUGCACUUGAUUAGUUUGUUGGUAGGGUAAUGGCCUACCAAGACUGUGAUCAAUAGCUGAUUUGAGAGGAUGAUCAGCCACAUUGGGACUGAGACACGGCCCAAACUCCUACGGGAGGCAGCAGUGGGGAAUCUUGCACAAUGGAGGAAACUCUGAUGCAGCGAUGCCGCGUGAGUGAAGAAGGCCUUUGGGUUGUAAAGCUCUUUCGUCGGGGAAG
rnacentral:rRNA from 1 species